rnacentral:rRNA from 1 species
GCUUGCUUUUUUGAUGACGACCGGCGCACGGGUGCGUAACGCGUAUGCAAUCUACCUUUUGCUACUGGAUAGCCCAGAGAAAUUUGGAUUAACACAGUAUAGUAUCAUAUUACUGCAUGGUAUUUAUGAUUAAAGGCUACGGCAGAAGAUGAGCAUGCGUCCUAUUAGCUAGUUGGUGUGGUAACGGCAUACCAAGGCAACGAUAGGUAGGGGCCCUGAGAGGGGGAUCCCCCACACUGGUACUGAGACACGGACCAGACUCCUACGGGAGGCAGCAGUGAGGAAUAUUGGACAAUGGAGGCAACUCUGAUCCAGCCAUGCCGCGUGCAGGAUGACUGCCCUAUGGGUUGUAAACUGCUUUUAUACAGGAAGAAACCGCUCUACGUGUAGAGCUCUGACGGUACUGUAAGAAUAAGGAUCGGCUAACUCCGUGCCAGCAGCCGCGGUAAUACGGAGG